rnacentral:lncRNA from 1 species
GAGAAUUCACCCAACCAAAGCCAACAGGAGUUUUCCCUGCAGGGAAGGCCAGAGCUGCCACCAAGGAGGGAAGCAGAGCCCCGUGGCUGUGGGAAGGACUGACCCUUUGCAGGCUGACAACAUGACAAUGCCAUGACCCAGAUGGGAGUGCAGAGCAGGUCUGCACUGACAGGACAGUCAUCCACGACCACAUCAGCCUGACAUUCCCUGAUGAUGGCAACGGGAUGAACUCGGAGCAGCUGCACAAAAUACUAAGUUGGCAACCAAGAGAAGAGACAGACUCGGCUCCAAUCCUUUGGAGUAUUGAUAAGAGAAGGUAUUGUGGGAAAUGACCCUGUGCCUUUUCUGUUUCUCCUGCCAGAGUCGGUAGGGUUUGGACUGAUCUCUCUUUUAUUUCUCCAGGUAGCAGAGAGGUUUCUUUCCCCUUUAGAAGAGAAGAUAGUGUACAGACCCCUUAUUAGAGAAGAUAGUGUACAGACCCCUUUAGUAGAGAAGAUAGUGUACAGAGAAGAUAGUAGAGAAGAUAGUGCAAAGAACCCAUUAUUAGAGAAGAUUGCUCUGCCUGCAGCUGUACCCAUGGACAAGCUUGGAUUCCAACAGUUCUGUUCACAGCAAGUGAGUCCCCACUUGUGUGUAUUUCUCCUGCUGAUCUACUCGCCCCCCUGGGAUUGUUUCCAGCAUUUUCUCGCCUGCACUUGGAUGUUGAUGCUUUUGCAUCUCUUUAAGCAGUGCAGCUGUGGCAGUUCCCUGCUUAGAGAGAAGCUGGAAUUCGUUGGCACUGGAGCACAUUGUCCCAGGAAGCGACUACUCCCUGCCAGGACGUAGGAGAUGUUUUUCCAUUGGCCUUGGGUUUGGGAGCUGGAGGGUUUGUGGGUGUUGUUUUAAAAUCAGGUGUUUUGUGGGCUUUUGCAGUAUUUGGUACCCGAAGCCGAGCACGCAGAUCAUCCUGGGAGGACAAAGAGCCAAAACACAGCUGGUUUCCAAAGCUGUCUUCCCCCACACUUGUCAUGUGGGCACAGGGAUACCACACUUGCAAGGGCUUCUCCAAAGGUUUUUCUGCCAGGAGUGCUCCAGGCUUUCAGAAGGUAACUUUCCAGCCCAGAACAGAAACACGGACCUGAUGCCGUCGUUUCCUGAGCACUGUAAGGUGUCCUGCACCUCUUGCCUCCCCACAAGAGGGAUGGGAUCCCAUCCCUGCAUGGCUGCUCCUUUCUGCCCUUGUGCUGCUUCCUUUGCCCGGCCCAGAAAUCCAUGGCUUGGCUUCAGAGCUGAUCUGGAUGCCAGCCCUCUGGGCCAGCCUAGUUCUCUGCACACACUCUGGUGUCAGUGCAGCCCUGGGGGGUGCAGGCGUUGGAAGAAGCCAGGCA